rnacentral:rRNA from 1 species
UACAGAGGGUGCGAGCGUUAAUCGGAAUUACUGGGCGUAAAGCGCGCGUAGGCGGCUUUUCAAGUCGAUUGUGAAAUCCCCGGGCUUAACCUGGGAACUGCAGUCGAGACUGUCUAGCUAGAGUAUGGGAGAGGGAAGUGGAAUUCCAGGUGUAGCGGUGGAAUGCGUAGAUAUCUGGAGGAACACCGGUGGCGAAGGCGACAUCCUGGACCGGUAUUGACGCUGAGGCGCGAAAGCCAGGGGAGCAAACGGG